CUUUCCUGGUGGCUGCCUUAACUCAUCGCUGGACCCUAGGGACAGAGAGUUAAGGAAUUUUACAAUCAAGAUACAUGCUUACCCAGCGGACUGAUGACUGAUGCUUUAAAGAAUUCCUUGGACCACACGAAAGGUGACAAAAUAGUCUGAAGCAUGCACACUGCUUAGGGAGGCGCAUCAACACUGCAGCUAAGAGAUGCUAAUGGCUACUACAGCACAGCGGUAGCAUACAGAAGAAAUGACUUUUCGUGUGAAGCCACAAGAAGAGAGAAGUAAGAAGUAACCUCACUGGAUGUGUCCAGUAAAUUCACUGUGGUGCCUGGCAGGUGAAAUUAGGAUACAGUUGCCUCCCGACCUUGUUUUCUGUCAUAAAAACACAUGCACAGAUUUUCAGAACCCUUGUAUAGACACACAUUCUGUAAAUGCUGGACUUGGCAACUCAGAACUGAUCUAAGAGCUGGGUCUGUUUCAUACCACUUCUGACCAGUAAGAGGCUCACAGUUGUUUGUUAGGCUUUUGUCUGGCUUUAUACUCUCUUAGAUAUUAUCUCCAGAUUCUAAAUGUCCUCUUAUUUUUCCGUAUAUUCAAACUCUAUGACUCAUCCCCACCCUGCUUCCUUCCCAGACUAUGAGCCACUACAGUUUAG
ensembl:lincRNA Gm26671 predicted gene, 26671